rnacentral:rRNA from 1 species
GACGAACGCUGGCGGCGUGCUUAACACAUGCAAGUCGAACGGAAAGGCCCUGCUUUUGUGGGGUGCUCGAGUGGCGAACGGGUGAGUAACACGUGAGUAACCUGCCCUUGACUUUGGGAUAACUUCUGGAAACUGGGGCUAAUACCGGAUAGGAGCUCCUGCUGCAUGGUGGGGGUUGGAAAGUUUCGGCGGUUGGGGAUGGACUCGCGGCUUAUCAGCUUGUUGGUGGGGUAGUGGCUUACCAAGGCUUUGACGGGAAGCCGGCCUGAGAGGGUGACCGGCCACAUUGGGACUGAGAUACGGCCCAGACUCCUACGGGAGGCAGCAGUGGGGAAUAUUGCACAAUGGGCGGAAGCCUGAUGCAGCAACGCCGCGUGCGGGAUGACGGCCUUCGGGUUGUAAACCGCUUUCGCAUGUGACGAAGCGUGAGUGACGGUAAUGGGUAAAGAAGCACCGGCUAACUACGUG